CCCGUUGAUUCUGUCGGUUCCGCAUGGGGUCUACACCUUAGGCUACACAAUUUAGCUUUUUUUCAGCAAAAAAAGAAUGAGUUUUUUUAAUGUAAAAACCAUUCAAGAAAAAUAGUAAAGAAAAGAUGUUGAAGAAGAGCAACAAGAAGAUAAAGACGAGAUGGAAGAAAAUCAGCAACAAUUGAACAAGAAGACGAGGUUUACCCUCCUGGUAACUACACUCACAUGGGAUUUCCUUAAUAUACCAUCUAUCCAUUCUUGGCUCAUCAAUCCUGCAUCCUUCGCUAAUUUCGGACAUAUUCAAGCUUGGGAUCGUCACUGUAUUACAUGGUUAUGGUUAACUUGAUUGAAAUAAGAUCCAUUGCAAUGUUGCCAUUGGAUUGCCUUUGAUUCUCUCUGUAUUGCUGUUUUGAUUGAUCUGUAUACGCAUUUAUCUGUCACUUGCAACAUUUUCAUUCUCUUUUUUUCUCUUUCUUCUCUCAUGCUUAGAUGAUGACGACGAUGAAGAUGGAAAAGGAUGAAAGAUAAUUCUGCAAAAACAACCAAGUAAACAUGUAAACCAAUGGAUCAACAUUUCUUUUGUCUUCUCCAACCCUGAAAGCUUUUUGCAUAAGGAAGAAGAAAAAAAAGAGAUUCAACAUAAGCUUUCAAUGAAUUCUCGUGAAUUGUUUCCAUCAACCGUAAUCUUGUUUCUUCUCAUUUCUUCCUUUUUCGCAUCUUUUUCUCUUCUCAUCUAAGAGAUUAUGUUUUUGUUAUCAAGCAAUAAUUUUCGUCUCUUUUCUGAGUCUUGUUUCGUUCAUUGAAUAACCCAAUUGAAAACAAUCCUCAAUCUAAAUCAAUGAACAAACAAAACACUGUCAUGUUCAACCAUCAUUACUCAGCUGAAUCAAAUAAUGACCCAAACAUCAUACCGAUUCUAAUAAUAAUUUUAAAGCAAAAUCAAAAGUUCAGAUACAAUUGUUGUAAAUGCAAGAAAAAGUCUGUUGGAGACAAAAAAAGCUUAAAAAAUUGUGUCAACAGAUGAUUUAACAUUAACAUACUGGAAACAUUAAGCCUUCACUUGUUUUCAAACCUUUUCUCAUAGCUUUUACCUUUACAGAAUCUUUGGUAAACAAAGUGAAUGAUCAAAUGCAUGGCAAGAAUUGAUUGAAUCUGAUUAACCUGGAUCAGUAAUGAUGCUUAAUGUAACUUUCAUUCUUCAAUCAAUAAUUAACUGUUCCAUCCAAAGUACAAUGGCAACUUACAAAUAGACCAGCAAGAGGUUUAAUUGUAUUGUUAAUAUAAAAAUGUAAAAAGGAUUUGUAUCAUUCAAUUAAUGUCAAUUGAAUAGCAUAAAUGUAAAUAAAAGUAAUUGGAAUCAUGGUGAUCCAGGAAUUGAUAACACAUUAAAGAUUGGCUUAUCAUCUCAGCUCUUCAAACUUCAUCUACUUUUUUUGGUUGCCGCUGCUGUAUUGCCUGACAAACAACAACAUCGGAUUAUUUGGCUGAGCCAUUGGAAUCAACCAAGCAUUAUAAUAACACAAGGAGUAACUACAAUCUAAAAGAGGUUCGAUUGAGCGGAUUAAUGGUUAAGGCUUAACCAGGUUCUUUACAUGGCAAACAAGAAACAAUAUUAAUCCUUGAUUACCGUUACCAAUUUUGUGCUUCUUACUUCAAUUUAAAUAAUGCUCCAUGAAAAGGGUAACCUGGAGAGGUGCAUCAAUACCACUCAUCUUCAUGUUGAUCUGCUCUUUGGAACGGUAGAAAAUUCUGAGAAUAUUUAAUCUGGCAUUGUUAUUGUUAAUGGUUUAUCAUAUUUCGCCUGAUUAUCCUCUUUAAAGAAGUGAGUUUUGGAGAAGGAAGAAAAGCCAGAGAAGAUGGUUGAAGCAAUCCAGACAAAAACUCACCAUAUCCAAUGUUGAUCAUCAUCUCCAUCAGCCUCCUCAUCAUCAUAACCAAUUCAAUUUCUCAUCUUUAAACCUUGAUUCAGUAGUGCUGUUGAAGGAGGAGUUGAUUGUUGUACAUUCACAGUGAUGGUAAAGCGUGCUAAAAAGGAGGAAACAAUGUAUUGUUGUUACCAAUGUAAAUAUAAAUGAGAUUGAGUUAAUUAAAUUCAGUCUCAACGUUUAGCAUAACAACAACAACAACAACAACUGGAAGGAACAACUGAUUCA